rnacentral:rRNA from 1 species
CCUACGGGAGGCAGCAGUAAGGAAUAUUGGACAAUGCUCGCAAGAGUGAUCCAGCCAUGCCGCGUGCAGGAAGAAUGCCCUAUGGGUAGUAAACUGCUUUUGAACUAGAGAAAACCCCAGUACGUGUACUGGGCUGAUAGUAUAGUUAGAAUAAGCAUCGGCUAACUUCGUGCCAGCAGCCGCGGUAAGACGAAGGAUGCAAGCGUUAUCCGGAUUCAUUGGGUUUAAAGGGAGCGUAGGUGGACUGAUAAGUCAGUGGUGAAAUCUCCGAGCUUAACUCGGAAAUUGCCAUUGAUACUGUUGGUCUUGAGUACAGUUGCUGUGGGCGGAAUAUGACAUGUAGUGGUGAAAUACAUAGAGAUGUCAUAGAACACCGAUUGCGAAGGCAGCUCACAAAGCUGUGACUGACACUGAGGCUCGAAAGUGCGGGGAUCAAACAGGAUUAGAUACCCUGGUAGUCCGCACCGUAAACGAUGAUUACUCGCUGCUAGGGGGCAACCUUUAGUGGCUUAGCGAAAGCGAUAAGUAAUCCACCUGGGGAGUACGCCGGCAACGGUGAAACGUCAAAUGAAAUUGACGG